GACGAACGUUGGCGGCGUGCUUAAUACAUGCAAGUCCACUGAAGCAGUGGUAGCAAUAUCGCUGUGGAGGUGGCGCACGGGUGAGUAACACGUAGGUAAUCUGCCUUCAGGUCUGGCAUAACUCCGGGAAACCGGGGCUAAUAGCAGAUGAUGCAGCGGCUCGACAUCGAGACAGUUGUUAAAGCUAUGGCGCCUGAAGAUGAGCCUGCGCCUGAUUAGCUAGUUGGCGGGGUAACGGCCCACCAAGGCAACGAUCAGUAGCUGGUCUGAGAGGAUGAUCAGCCACAAUGGAACUGAGACACGGUCAAGACUACGACGGGAGGCAGAAGUAAGGAAUAUUGCUCAAUGGGAGAAAUCCUGAAGCAGCAACGCCGCGUGAGGGACGAAGGGCUUUUGCUUGUAAACCUCUGUAGUGAGAGAAAAAAAUCCCAAUCUUUGGGACAUGAUGGUAUCUCAAAAGUAAGCCCCGGCUAACUACGUG
rnacentral:rRNA from 1 species